rnacentral:rRNA from 1 species
UACAGAGGUCUCAAGCGUUGUUCGGAUUCAUUGGGCGUAAAGGGUGCGUAGGUGGCGCGGUAAGUCGGGUGUGAAAUUUCGGAGCUUAACUCCGAAACUGCAUUCGAUACUGCCGUGCUUGAGGACUGGAGAGGAGACUGGAAUUUACGGUGUAGCGGUGAAAUGCGUAGAUAUCGUAAGGAAGACCAGUGGCGAAGGCGGGUCUCUGGACAGUUCCUGACGCUGAGGCACGAAGACCAGGGGGAGCAAAACGGG